rnacentral:rRNA from 1 species
UACGAAGGGUGCAAGCGUUAAUCGGAAUUACUGGGCGUAAAGGGCUCGUAGGCGGCCAACUAAGUCAUACGUGAAAUCCCUCAGCUUAACUGGGGAACUGCGUGUGAUACUGGAUGGCUUGGAUUUGGGAGAGGGAUGCGGAAUUCCAGGUGUAGCGGUGAAAUGCGUAGAUAUCUGGAGGAACACCGGUGGCGAAGGCGGCAUCCUGGACCGGUAUUGACGCUGAGGCGCGAAAGCCAGGGGAGCAAACGGG